rnacentral:rRNA from 1 species
UGGGGAAUAUUGCACAAUGGGCGCAAGCCUGAUGCAGCCAUGCCGCGUGUGUGAAGAAGGCCUUCGGGUUGUAAAGCACUUUCAGCGAGGAGGAAGGUGGUGGACUUAAUACGUUCAUCAAUUGACGUUACUCGCAGAAGAAGCACCGGCUAACUCCGUGCCAGCAGCCGCGGUAAUACGGAGGGUGCAAGCGUUAAUCGGAAUUACUGGGCGUAAAGCGCACGCAGGCGGUUUGUUAAGUCAGAUGUGAAAUCCCCGGGCUCAACCUGGGAACUGCAUUUGAAACUGGCAAGCUAGAGUCUCGUAGAGGGGGGUAGAAUUCCAGGUGUAGCGGUGAAAUGCGUAGAGAUCUGGAGGAAUACCGGUGGCGAAGGCGGCCCCCCUGGACGAAGACUGACGCUCAGGUGCGAAAGCGUGGGGCAGCAAACAGGAUUAGAUACCCUGGUAGUCCACGCUGUAAACGAUGUCGAUUUGGAGGUUGUGCCCUUGAGGCGUGG